rnacentral:rRNA from 1 species
GACGAACGCUGGCGGCGUGCUUAACACAUGCAAGUCGAACGGAAAGGCCCUGCUUUUGUGGGGUGCUCGAGUGGCGAACGGGUGAGUAACACGUGAGUAACCUGCCCUUGACUUUGGGAUAACUUCAGGAAACUGGGGCUAAUACCGGAUAGGAGCUCCUGCUGCAUGGUGGGGGUUGGAAAGUUUCGGCGGUUGGGGAUGUACUCGCGGCUUAUCAGCUUGUUGGUGGGGUAGUGGCUUACCAAGGCUUUGACGGGUAGCCGGCCUGAGAGGGUGACCGGCGACAUUGGGACUGAGAUACGGCCCAGACUCCUACGGGAGGCAGCAGUGGGGAAUAUUGCACAAUGGGCGGAAGCCUGAUGCAGCAACGCCGCGUGCGGGAUGACGGCCUUCGAGUUGUAAACCGCUUUCGCCUGUGACGAAGCGUGAGUGACGGUAAUGGGUAAAGAAGCACCGGCUAACUACGUG